UUCUUGCAUUAGUUGGUCGCCGAUCGUAGAGUAGAUCGUUGUUAAAUAAAUCAAUAGUUCGCGAAUAAACAAGAAAAUUUAUCGAAUAAAAAUGUUAAAAAAUAAAUCAAAAAUAAAAGAAAUUCAAGAUACAGAAGAGAAAGGCAAAGCUAAACCUGCCGAAGAUGCUUCAUCAGUUAGCAACGCGAAGACAUUUGCAGAUAUUUGCUGGGAUUUUAAAAAUAAGCUUAGCAUCAAAGCAGAUGCUGAGGAAAAGCCACCUGCGAGCCCUGUGCGAACCCCAAAAUACUAUCAGGAUUAUUAUAUAUUUGAGCAACCAAAUUUUGGACUUUUCAAAAUUGUAUCAGAACUCGGUCAUUAUUACCCGAGCAAUGAUAUGAAGAUUGCUCAAGUAAACAAAUUUGAUUGCGAUUAUCUAUCACAAGGCGACGAGAUGAUAAAAGCCUAUCUGGAUAAUCCCGUUUUAGAUGCAAAUAAUAUUUAUAAGAUAUUCAAAAUGUUAGUUCAAAUAGAAGACCUUCACACGAUGUUGCCGUAUUGUCGUGUAUAUCUGGAAAAUGUUGUAGUGACUGCGUCUGACGGCUACUUAAAAUUUAACAUAAAUGUGCCGUCAAAUGUCAAUAUCGAUGAAAUUCUUAACCCAAUCAUGGACGAAGUGGUCUUUGUGCCACUCAUGAGCCGUGCAGUGGCUCAAAACCAAAUAAAUUAUGCCGUUGACUUACUUAUACAUCAUCAACAUGAGACACUUAUCACCGAUGUUGAACUUUUUCGAGAAGUUGGCCUACUAGACAAACUGGAGGGACAAAUCGCAUAUGUGGAAAGCCCUAAUCCCCGAUUUAAUAUCAAUAAAACAUAUGAUAUCAUAUUUCGUUCUCGGCGUGUACAUUUCCGUUAUCAGCAGCGUGCUUUAGAGUUGUUGGAUGAAGUGCGCUGUGAAUAUCUCUUUCCCGAACGGAAUCCCUACAAAGAUGAGGCUCCAAAAAAAAUUAAAUUACAAAUAAUAAAUAAACAAAUUAUGGAAAACCCCGAACAGUUGCAAGCUGUGGCGCAGGUAGUUGGCGGUGCCAACCCUUUUGUUCCAUAUAUAGUCGUUGGGCCGCCAGGCACCGGCAAAACAACUACAAUCGUAGAGGCUAUACUACAAUUAUACAUUUGCCGUCCCAAUUGCCGCAUUUUGAUCACUGCAAGCACGAAUUCCGCCUGCGAUACGAUCGCUUUGAAGUUGUGUGAACAUUUCGAAAAGAAUCCCAUACUUAGGAAGCUCUCAUUGCAGCGCAGUGGCACGAAUUUCAUGGGGCGCCCAAAACCGCCCACGGCUAUGUUGCGUGUCUUUUCGAAAUCACUAUUUAAGAAAGGUGUGAAAAACAUCAAUCGUACGCUGUUGGAACAUUCGAAUUUCUGCAAACGUACAUACAAUUCACCAUCUGUAGAAGUGUUGCAAAAAUACAACAUAAUUGUGGUGACACUCUGCACUAUGGGACGCUUGCGUACCGGCACAAUUGGUAAUUGGCCCUUUACGCAUGUCUUCAUAGAUGAAGCGGGUGCCACUACGGAGACGGAAGCUUUGAUUGCCAUAACUAGCGUUAAUACGAAAACUUGUCGUGUGAUAUUGUCGGGCGAUACAAAGCAAUUGGGGCCGGUAGUUAUGUCGCCUGUAGCUGCUGAACUUGGCCUGAAAUACUCGCUUAUGGAACGAUUGCUCGGACGUGACUGUUAUGCGGUCAAGGAGGAUGGUACCUACGAUUAUACUUUACAGACACGUUUGCGUCGCAACUAUCGCUCACAUCCGGCAAUCGUAAAGCUAUACAAUCAUCUAUACUAUGAUGGAAAACUAAUGGCAAAAGCCAAUUUAGAUAAUUUAAUAAAAUGGCAAAACUUCUCAAUUUUGGAUAAUGAAAAUUCCCCAGUUAUUUUUCAAGCUGUAUACGGCAAACUUGGAAAAUCUUUAACAUCGUGUAGCUCUUAUAAUAAAUUGGAAAUUGAUGUUAUCAUCUGGACUAUCAAACAGCUUAGGAUAAAUGCAAUGUCCAAAUUUGCUUGUUUCGGUCCCGGGGAUAUUGGAAUCAUUUCUCCGUAUAAAUUGCAAUGUGGGCAUAUAAAAAAACGAUUACAAGAGGAAAACAUCCAGGGUGUCGAAGUGGGCACAGUUGAAAUAUUUCAAGGUCGGGAGAAGCCGAUCAUAAUUGCAUCGUUUGUCAAAUCGUUUUGUAAUUUGGGCUUUACAGCCGAUCCACAGCGCUUAAAUGUCGUACUUUCGCGUGCUCAAUCAUUGCUCAUCCUCAUUGGGAAUCCUCAAACUUUGCAGCAGAACAGCGAUUUCGAAUAUUUAAUAGAAGAGUGCACACGUGCCGGGAAUUUUAGGCAAAAAAUUAUGUCAGUAAGUAAACAGCCAGUGGCCACAGACUUGCCGUCCAUUACAGAUGGAAGUGAAAAGUAAUUUUUUUUAACUUUAUUUUACUACAUUGAUUACAUUAUUUUUCCAUUUUGAAUUGAUAACAUUGUUUUUUAUUCAGUUUACAUUUCUGUUGCAUAAAAUAUCAACCGUUCAUGUCACAUUUCAAAAGUUUGUAUACUUAAAACACGAAUUUUUACAAAAAAAAAAAAAAAUGUUUUUAUUUUUUUAUUUUUGUGUAAAGAAAAUAAUCUGCUUUAACUCAACCGUUAAAAGUGAGAGCAGAAAUGUUUCGCAUCAAACAAGCUUGUGAUAAAGGGAUGCCGACUCUGAUAACGAAAAAACAUAAAAGGUCUGUUUAUUGGUGGACGGAGGAAAUAGCCGAAUUAAGACGUGACUGUCUUCGACUUACCUAGCCAGACGAACCGGGUCAGCCACUGUGGACGCAAAAGCAUACAAGAGUGGAAAGAGGCAGCUAAAGGUUGCUAUUGCAAAUACCAAGAAAAAAGGGAAGAUCUCCGGGCAUAUCCAAAUAGGGGCCGCUGAGGCCUUGGGUCCAAAAUUGUGGGAAGAAACUGGGAGCCAAGAUACCUACACCGGAACUAAGCUCCAGCGCGCUAGACUACAUCAUAUAAAGGACGCUUUCAAUAGCGUAAGACGGGCGGACAUAUUGGCCGCCUUGGAGCUAAGGUUCCAAAUUCCGGCAUACCCGGGAAAUCAGCGGUGGUUUCGCGGAAAAAAUUCUCCACAUAAAAAAGUGGGACCUGGACGCAGGCACAUUGGCUAGACCUUUGUAAUGAGGAAGAUGGAACACCACUCUGAGGUAAUGCGGAAGCGGUUCCUGGGUGGGCGAUAAUUCCAAACGAGUUUUUCAGUCUCCGGACAUACCAAUCCUGCGCCGGCAGCUUAAAAAUCGGCUUUAACUUAAGUCUAUACAAGAUGAAGUCCAAAAUAAACAAGACUGAGCUAAAAUAUAAAGCUUUACUCUGA